AGAGGUUGCGUGCCCUCGAUGCAUUGUAUUUUUAAUUGUACCUUUUUUUUGUAUAUUUUCAAUUAUUGAUUAAAAUUUUUGCAUAUUGAUGUAAAAUUUAUAACAAAAAAUAUUUAAAAAUAGAUAGAAAUUAUUUCUUUCUAUUUUCAGAUAAAGAUCGAGCAUUCAUGAAAGUCUUCAUAGAGAUGAAGACUGGACUACCAGA
rnacentral:lncRNA from 1 species